rnacentral:rRNA from 1 species
UACAGAGGGUGCAAACGUUGCUCGGAAUCAUUGGGCGUAAAGCGCACGUAGGCGGCCAGCAAGUGGGAGUGAAAGCCUCGGCUUAACCGAGGAAGUGCUUUCCAAACUACUGGGCUUGAAUACUGGAGAGGGUCGCGGAAUUCCCGGUGUAGAGGUGAAAGUUCGUAGAUAUCGGAGGAACACCAGUGGCGAAGGCGGCG